rnacentral:lncRNA from 1 species
ACAAAACUAAAUUAGUCCUUCUCUCUCCUAUUAUUCCCCCUCUUUUCCCUUCCCUUACUCGUGAACCUUUCCCCCUGUUCACAACCCCGUCCCUCGUCCUCCUCUGUCUCCGACACUGUUCCUCGUCCUUAUUCCCCUAUCUUCAUCUCCCCCUCUUUCCCUUUUUUAAUGGAGAUGGUAAACAAAAGAAAGGAAAGCAGAGGAAAGAUUUGACGCAAUCCAUUUUUUCUUCUUCUAUUUUCCCCUAAUCUGGAUAUUGCUAGCUAUUAGAUGACUAGGUAGAUCAGAGACAUGAUUUUUCUGCUUUUCAUUCUAGCUCAAUUUUUUCUGUUUUUCGUUCUAGCUCAAUUUUUUAUGGCUGUGAAUCUUGGGUUAUGAACUUUUUUAUUAUUGCUUAGAAAAUGAUAAAUUAUGGUUGUGUUGGUGUUUUGUUGGUACCAAUUUUGAGUUUCUGGUGGCUUUUUAGACGGCCGGAUUCUGAGAUUUAUGACUGCUUUCCCUAUUCUUUUCUUCUAAUCGGCCCACCCAUUUGGAUCUGGUUUUGAUGAUGUUUGGAUAUGGAUAUUUGUUAGAAUUAGGAUCACACACGCACAUGACAAGAAUUAACAUAGAGAGAUUUAUGUACUUCUUAAAUUUGGGUACUCCACAGGCGGCUUGUUAUUUUAUUGAUGAUUUUAGUUACAUAGGGUUUUACAAUAGAUAGUAUUUAUAUUCAUUAAUCCUAUUCUAGCCUUACUUCACAUUAUGACUCAAAUACCCAUAAUGUCCUUCCAACAAACGAACCAGAAGAACUCUGUCCGCCGAUCGGCGCGCCCUGCGUCGCUUCUAGACUGCCACUAGCGCGCCCCAAGCCUUGCGCCGCUUUCAGGCCGCCACUGGCGACCCCCGUGCCGCUUCCAGAUCGCCACCGGCGCGCCCCGUGCGACACAUGCAGAACCUGCACCGAUCCUGGCGCGCCCCGUGCCGCUCCUAGUCUUGCACUGGCGCGCCCCGUGCUAUACAUGCAGAAAUUUCGUACCGUACCGCGCCUACCCCUCCUGCGACCUCCGGUUCAACCCUGAUGGGCUAGUACGUCGCUCCGUUCCGCACUAACCUUUUUCAGUAGCUUCUAUGUUAUGAUCACAAGUUCCAACAGUAUUUGUAGUUUGUAUCCCAUCUAAUUUUGGUUGUUUCUUCCAUUUUUGACCCGAUCUAUGGUUAAAUUUGGUGUUUUCAUGUUCUCCUUGGUCACGAGUUUUGGAUGUUUCAUCUAAAUGGCCAGAUUUCAUAGAGGUUUGGGUCUAGUAUGCUUGGGCUUCAACUGGUCUCCGUUGAUGCAUCUGUUGCGUUGCGGUGGGAACAAGUUAAAGUUAUAGGGAGAUAGACGAGAGAUGUCGGCAGUAUCCUUGUGACGAGCUCACCAGAUACGUCGAAAGCUCUUCGGAGCAGUGAGA